rnacentral:rRNA from 1 species
AUACGAAAGGUGCAAGCGUUGUUCGGAUUUACUGGGCGUAAAGAGAGUGUAGGUUGUUUAUUAAGUCGGAUGUGAAAUCCCGGGGCUCAACCUCGGAACUGCAUUCGAUACUGGUAGACUAGAGUUCGGGAGGGGUAAGCGGAAUUCCGUGUGUAGCAGUGAAAUGCGUAGAUAUACGGAGGAACACCUGAGGCGAAGGCGGCUUACUGGACCGAUACUGACACUGAGACUCGAAAGCGUGGGUAGCAAACAGGAUUAGAAACCCGAGUAGUCC